rnacentral:rRNA from 1 species
AUUGAACGCUGGCGGCAGGCUUAACACAUGCAAGUCGAACGAGUGGCGGACGGGUGAGUAAUGCUUGGGAAUCUAGCUUAUGGAGGGGGAUAACUACGGGAAAAUGUAGCUAAUACCGCGUACCAUAGGAUGAGCCCAAGUGGGAUUGGGUAGUUGGUGAGGUACAGGCUCACAAAGCGGACGAUUGCUAGCUGGUCUGAGAGGAUGACCGGCCACACUGGGACUGAGACACGGCCAAGACUCCUACGGGAGGAAGCAGUGGGGAAUAUUGCGCAAUGGGGGCAACCUGACGCAGCCAUGCCGCGUGAAUGAAGAAGGCCUUCGGGUUGUAAAGUGCUUUCGGGAGCGAGGCGUUACCUACAGAAGAAGCACCGGCUAACUCCGUGCCAGCAGCCGCGGUAAUUC